rnacentral:rRNA from 1 species
AUUGAACGCUGGCGGCAGGCCUAACACAUGCAAGUCGAACGAGUGGCGAACGGGUGAGUAAUGUCUGGGAAACUGCCCGAUGGAGGGGGAUAACUACUGGAAACGGUAGCUAAUCCCGCAUACCAUCGGAUGUGCCCAGAUGGGAUUAGCUUGUAGGUGAGGUAACGGCUCACCUAGGCGACGCUCCCUAGCUGGUCUGAGAGGAUGACCAGACACACGGGAACUGAGAAAAGGGCCAGACUCCUACGGGAGGCAGCAGGGGGGAAUAGUGCGAAAGGGGGGCAAGUCUGACGCAGCCAUGCCGCGUGUAUGAAGAAGGAUUUCGGGUUGUAAAGUACUGUCGGUGGGGAGGCGUUACCCACAGAAGAAGCACCGGCUAACUCCGUGCCAGCAGCUGCGGUAAUAC